rnacentral:misc_RNA from 1 species
UAACAAAAAAAAUCGGCUCAAGAAAACAGCAGCCUACUCUAUCCAUCUCAAAUACAAUGCCCAAGUCCAUAGAAAACUCUAGAUAGCAGAGGCAGAUGGUGCAUAGCUCUCCGGUCUUCCACCGUCAUCGCAACCUCCACCUCUCUUCAUGGAAGAUAAGCACCGAGAAUAAAAGGCAGAAUUUUCUUAGGAGAGAACAUAGCAAGCACAAGCCUGAUAUAGGUAAAAGAAGAAAGACCUCAACUUUGGUACAUGAAACUCACAAGGGUAAGCUGCUGGAACACUUUAGAAAAAAUCAUUGAGGUAUUGAGACAGCACUGAAAUAGUAGAGGAUGGCAAUGCUGGGACUAUUAGGCUGUUGGAGAAUGAUUCAAAGCCAGUUACCGAAAUAUUAGUUUUUUUUAUUGAGUUGGAUGUUGUUAAUUCUGUUCCUUUAUUUUCUACCUUAUGCUAAUAUUUUGCUGCACUUCUUUGCUAAUUUGUUAUUGUGUAAAACCUAUUUAUAGGCCUGUUGUUUACUUCAUUUUAGCAAGUAAAUAAAAUAGCAACUUUAGUCAAUUAUAUCUCGUAUUUUUACUAUAAUUCUUCUAUUUUUCUAUUGAUUUUUUUAAUUCCUAAAUUAGCUCAAGCCUAUUGUAGAUUUUUUUUUUGUCACCAUCUAUUUGAUAAAAGUCCUGUGUGGCAGCUUCUUGUGUUUACUGUAGAUUUCCAACAUUUGUGGUAUCAGAUCUUGGUUCGUUUGUAAUUGGGCGAAAGAUUCAUGGCAACUAACGGCAAUGUUGUGAGCAUUUCUCAGCCAGCAAUUCCAGUUUUCAAAGGUGAAAGCUAUGAGUUUUGGAGUAUGAAGAUGAAGACAUUAUUCAAGUCUCAAGAUCUGUGGGACUUGGUUGAGAAUGGAUUUGCUGAUUCAGAUGAAGAGGCUAGGCUAAGAGAGAACAAGAAGAAAGACUUGAAAGCAUUAUUCUUCAUUCAGCAAGCAGUACAUGAGUCAAUUUUCUCAAAAAUUGCAGCACAACUACAGCCAAAGAGGCUUGGACUACUUUGCAGACAGUGUUCCAAGGCUCCUCGAAGGUAAUCACGGUGAAACUUCAAACUCUUUGCCGAGAUUUUAAAACCUUGCUUAUGAAAAGUGGAGAAUCAGUGCAAGAGUUUUUGUCUAAAGUAGCUACAAUUGUUAAUCAAAUGAGGUCCUCUGCAGAAAAGAUUUCUGAUCAAACCAUAGUUGCAAAAGUGUUACAGAGUUUGACUCCAAAGUUUGAUCAUGUAGUAGCAGCUAUAGAAGAAUCCAAAGACUUGGCUACCUACUCAUUUGAUGUAUUGAUGGGGUAACUGCAAUCCCAUGAGGCAAGACUGAACAAGUUAGAUGAGAAGAAUGAAGAAAAGGCUUUUCAUGUGAAGGGGGAGGCAUUACACCAGAAAAAUGAGCAAAGAGAAGCAAGCAGUAGAGGACGUGGCAGAUGGAUUUCGUGGAAGAGGUAGUCACAAUGGAGGAUGAUGAUGAGGUGAUGAGCACCAAAAUCAAAAACAGCAGCAGGGAGGCAAUAAAAGGGGUGUUCAAUGCUACUAUUGUAAGCAGUUUGGCAUUAUAAAAGCUGACUACUGGAAAAGAAAAAAACAAGAACAAGCAAGUUAUGCAGAACAAGAAGAGGAGGAGCUCAAGCUUUUCAUGGCUCAUCAAGAAGAAAUUAUUGACAGCAGCAUUGGUUCCUGGACAGCGAAUGCUCUAAUCACAUGACUAGUGUACGAUCACUAUUCAAGGAGCUUGAUGACACGUUCAAACAAAAAGUAACACUUGGAGACAGCAAGUAGAUUCAAGUGGAAGGCAAAGGUAUUGCGGCAAUAAAAAACAGUUAUGGUAAUGUAAAGCUUCUCUAUGAUGUCUAUUACAUUCCUAGUUUGUCACAGAAUUUAUUGAGUGUUGGGCAACUCAUGGCUAUUGGAUAUUCUAUUGUGUUUGAUGAUGUGUCUUGUGUGAUUAGAGAUAAAAAAAAUCAGAUCAAAUUAUAGUUGAUGUUCGCAUGACACCAAACAAAUUAUUCCCACUUGAAAUUUUUAGUGUUGAAAACCAUGCACUUGUUGUGAAAGAAGCUAGUGAGUCAAGAUUAUGGCAUUUACGGUAUGGGCAUUUGAAUGUGAAAGGUCUAAAAUUGUUGAGUCAAAAGGAAAUGGUUUUUGGGUUGCCUAAAAUUGAGUCUUUGGAUGUAUGUGAAGGGUGUGUAUAAGGAAAACAAUGUAAGAAACCAUUUCCUGUAAGGAAGUCUAGAAGGGCAUCUAGUUGUCUUGAGCUUGGGCAUGCUGACUUGGUUGGUCCCAUGAAAACACAAUCGUUUAGUGGGAGUAGAUAUUUUUUGUUAUUUACAGAUGACUAUAGCCGGAUGAGCUGGGUGUAUUUUUUGCAAUCCAAGUCAGAAACAUUUGAGAACUUUAAAAAGUUCAAGACACUUAUGGAAAAGCAAACUGGAAGUUGCAUCAAGGCACUGCGCACAGAUAGAGGUGGUGAGUUUGUAUCACAAGAAUUUAAUCAAUUUGCGAAGAACAAGGCUUGCAAAGAGAGCUGACUGCUCCAUACACUCCAGAGCAGAAUGGUGUCGCUGAACGUAAGAAUCGAACAGUUGUUGAGAUGGCGAGAAGUUUGUUGAAAGCUAAAGGACUUCCAAAUCAGUUUUGGGCAGAAGCAGUAGCAACGGCAGUACACUUGCUUAAUUUAUCACCAAUAAAGCCUGUUUUGAAUCAAACACCAUACAAGGCUUGGUGUAGGAGGAAACCGUGGGUAAGCCAUUUAAAGGUUUUUGGCUACAUUGCCUAUGCUUUAAUUGAUUCACAUAAUUGCAGUAAACUUGAUGAUAAAUCAACAAAAUGCAUUUUUAUUAGUUAUUGUUCUCAAUCUAAAGCAUAUAGGUUGUAUAAUCCCAUUAGUGGCAAAGUUAUUAUCAGCAGGAAUGUUAUUUUUAAUGAGGAAGCAAGCUGGAUUUGGGAAGAAAAUUCAAAUGGUGUUCAGUUUGAAGUCUCAAAUGAAGCUCCACAGACUGAAGUCCAACAGCCUCCUUCCCCAAAUUCGUCAAGUUCAUCUCCUCCAACUUCACCAAACUUGUCAUCUUCAAACAGCAGAAGUUCAUCUGAAGAUGACACUUCGCCAAGAAAAUUUAGAUCAUUGGCUGAAAUUUAUGAGUCUACAUAGGCCUUGUUUGUUGCUGAUCCAACAACUUAUGAAGAAGCAGUAGAAAAAGAAGAGUGGCGCAAUGCAAUGAAGAAGGAACUUGUAGCAAUUCAACGAAAUGAGAUGUGGGUGCUUGUAGAUCUUCCCAAAGACAGGAAAGUAAUUGGAGUCAAAUGGGUCUUUCAAACAAAGUUUCAAGCAUAUUGCAGUAUUCAAAAGCACAAAGCGCGAUUGGUAGUGAAAGAACUAGGAGUGGAUUAUGAUGAUAUUUUCUCUUUAGUUGCAUGGUUUGAGAUAGUCAGAAUCAUCUUGGCAUUGGCUGCAUAUUUGAAAAGGACCGUGUAUCAGUUUGAUAUUAAAUCAACAUUUCUAAAUGGCGAAUUACAGGAAGAGGUUUACAUUGCUUAGCCUAAAGUAUUCAUAGUUAAAGGCAAAGAGGAGAAAGUGUAUAAGCUGCGAAAAGCUCUCUAUGGACUGAAGCAGGCACCCCGUGCAUGGUACAACAAAAUUGAUACUUACUUUCUCUAAAAUGGCUUUGAAAGAAGUAAGAAUGAGCCCAAUCUUUAUGUUAAGAAGCAAGGUACAAAUGAUUUUCUCAUUGUUGGCCUCUGUGGAUGAUAUGAUUUAUAUGGAAUCUUCUUCUCCUCUUAUUAAUGAAUUCAAAGCUUCUAUGGAAAAGAAAUUCAAAAUGAUAGAUUUUCGAGAGUUGCAGUACUAUCUUGGGCUUGAGGUGAAGCAACUUAAAGAUGGCAUCUUUGUGUCACAAAAGAAAUAUGCUGCUGAUUUGCUUAAAAGGUUUAAUAUGUUGGGUUGUAAAAUUGCAAUCACACCAAUGAAUUUAAAUGAAAAAUUGCAAGUUGAUGAUGGUACUGAACCAGCGGAUGCAAGGAGUUUUAGAAGUCUGGUUGGAGGCUUAAUCUACUUGACUAAUACGCGGCCUGAUAUUUCUUUUACUAUUGGAGUUAUUUCCAGGUUCAUGCAUUGUCCAUCAAAGCAUCAUUUUGGAGCUGCAAAAAGGGUUCUACGUUAUAUUGUUGGAACAGUUGAUUUUGGGAUAUGGUAUGGUCAUGUUUCAGAGUUCAAAUUAUUUGGCUAUACUAAUAGUGAUUGAGCUAGGUGUUUGGAGGAUAGAAAAAGCACAUAUGGUUAUGUUUUUAGUCUUGGAUCAGCCGCUGUAUGCUGGAGUUCAAAGAAGCAAACAACAACAACCUUGUCUUCAUCUGAAGCAGAAUAUAUAGCUGCAAGUUCAUCAGCAUGUCAAGCCUUAUGGUUAAGAAGAAUUCUAGCUGAUGUCAAUCAAGAACAGCAGGAAGCAACUGAAAUUUACUGUGAUAAUCAAGCCGUAAUUUGUAUGUCUAAAAAUCUAGCUUUUCAUGGAAGAACUAAGCAUAUAGAUAUUCGAGUUCAUUUCAUUCGAGAUCUUGUGUCAGAUGAAUCAAUCAUUUUGAAGUACUACAACAUAAAUGAGUAAGUAGCAGAUAUUUUGAUAAAGUCCCUUCCUCAAGAUAAACAUGUUUAUUUUAGGCUCCAACUUGGUGUUUGUAACUUUGAAUAAAGGGGGAGUGUUGGAGAAUGAUUCAAAGUCAGUUAUCGAAAUAUUAGUUUUUUUAUUGAGUUAGAUGUAGUUAUUUGUAACACCCCUAAUUUUUAAAU